CCUGGCGGCCGUAGCGCGGUGGUCCCACCUGACCCCAUGCCGAACUCAGAAGUGAAACGCCGUAGCGCCGAUGGUAGUGUGGGGUCUCCCCA
rnacentral:rRNA from 5 species